CCCCCAAAUCGCCUCCCGAUCCACACACAACAAGAUCUUCUCUACACUUCACUCCGAUCUACCGUCGCUGGUUUGACGCUCGUGUUCUCUGAGUUAUGGCCAGCGUAAAUCUUCCUCGCCGCAUUAUAGUUCUCACGAAAUGGAACGAAUUAAGUUAUUGAACAACAAGGUGCAGCAGAGGUGGACUUAUAACUGUUUGAAGAUCGUAUAUUAGGUGAUACCCUAGCCAUUGUUAAGAUGUAUGUUACAGUUGUAAUGGUCCCGGAGACCGCACCUAUCCUCCCAACUAAUACUGGAGCGAAAAUUCUCGGUGAUGUACUCGACGGAGAUAAUAUCGAAUAGAUUUAC